rnacentral:ncRNA from 1 species
AUAUGCAAAAAGCAAACCUGACUAAAGUCAGGGACGCAAAGCCAUAGGAUCUAAAGUGCUGGUUAUAGCGCUAUGACAGCCUGGCUGCCGUU